AUUGAACGCUGGCGGCAGGCCUAACACAUGCAAGUCGAACGGUAACAGGAAGAAGCUUGCUUCUUUGCUGACGAGUGGCGGACGGGUGAGCAAUGUCUGGGAAACUGCCUGAUGGAGGGGGAUAACUACUGGAAACGGUAGCUAAUACCGCAUAAUGUCGCAAGACCAAAGAGGGGGACCUUCGGGCCUCUUGCCAUCGGAUGUGCCCAGAUGGGAUUAGCUAGUAGGUGGGGUAACGGCUCACCUAGGCGACGAUCCGUAGCUGGUCUGAGAGGAUGAACAGCCACACUGGAACUGAGACACGGUCCAGACUCCUACGGGAGGCAGCAGUGGGGAAUAUUGGACAAUGGGCGCAAGCCUGAUGCAGCUAUGCCGCGUGUAUGAAGAAGGCCUUCGGGUUGUAAAGUACUUUCAGCGGGGAGGAAGGGAGUAAAGUUAAUACCUUUGCUCAUUGACGUUACCCGCAGAAGAAGCACCGGCUAACUCCGUG
rnacentral:rRNA from 1 species